rnacentral:rRNA from 1 species
CAGCCAUGCCGCGUGAAGGAUGACGCGCUAUGCGUUGUAAACUUCUUUUGUACAGGAAGAAACACUUCUACGUGUAGAAGCUUGACGGUACUGUACGAAUAAACAUCGGCUAACUCCGUGCCAGCAGCCGCGGUAAUACGGAGGAUGCAAGCGUUAUCCGGAUUUAUUGGGUUUAAAGGGUACGUAGGCGGAAAAUUAAGUCAGUAGUGAAAUCCUGCAGCUUAACUGUAGAACUGUUAUUGAUACUGGUUUUCUUGAAUAUAGUUGAGGUAGGCGGAAUGUGUAAUGUAGCGGUGAAAUGCUUAGAUAUUACACAGAACACCGAUUGCGAAGGCAGCUUACUAAGCUAUGAUUGACGCUGAGGUACGAAAGCGUGGGGAGCGAACAGGAUU